UACGUAGGGGGCGAGCGUUGUCCGGAGUUACUGGGCGUAAAGGGCGUGCAGGCGGUGCGGUAAGUUUAGCGUGACAGUCUCCGGCUUAACUGGAGAAGGCCGCUGAAAACUGCUGGACUUGAGGGCCAGAGAGGGACAUAGAAUUCCGGAUGGAGUGGUGAAAUGCGUAGAUAUCCGGAGGAAUACCAAAGGCGAAGGCAGUGUCCUGGCUGGCAACUGACGCUGAGGCGCGAAAGCUAGGGGAGCGAACAGG
rnacentral:rRNA from 1 species